rnacentral:rRNA from 1 species
GAUGAACGCUGGCGGCGUGCCUAAUACAUGCAAGUCGAACGCUGGAAAUCUAGCUUGCUAGAUUGAAGGAGUGGCGAACGGGUGAGUAAUACAUAAGCAACCUACCCACGAAGACUGGGAUAAUCUCUGGAAACGGGGACUAAUACCGGAUAGGUAAUCGGAAGGCAUCUUCUGAUUAUUAAAGGUUAAAAACACUGGUGGAUGGGCUUAUGGCGCAUUAGUUAGUUGGUGAGGUAACGGCCCACCAAGACGAUGAUGCGUAGCCGGCCUGAGAGGGUGAACGGCCACAUUGGGACUGAGACACGGCCCAGACUCCUACGGGAGGCAGCAGUAGGGAAUUGUCGGCAAUGGGGGAAACCCUGACCGAGCAACGCCGCGUGAGUGAUGACGGCCUUCGGGUUGUAAAGCUCUGUUGUAAGGGAAGAACGGUAGAUAGAGAAUAUCUAAAUGACGGUACCUUACCAGAAAGCCACGGCUAACUACGUG